UACGGAGGGGGCUAGCGUUGUUCGGAAUUACUGGGCGUAAAGCGCACGUAGGCGGCUUUGUAAGUUAGAGGUGAAAGCCCGGGGCUCAACUCCGGAAUUGCCUUUAAGACUGCAUCGCUAGAAUUGUGGAGAGGUAAGUGGAAUUCCGAGUGUAGAGGUGAAAUGCGUAGAUAUCUGGAGGAACACCGGUGGCGAAGGCGACGUCCUGGACCGGCAUUGACGCUGAGGAGCGAAAGCUAGGGGAGCAAACGGG
rnacentral:rRNA from 1 species